ACUGAACGCUGGCGGCAGGCCUAACACAUGCAAGUCGAGCGGUAGCACAGAGAGCUUGCUCUCGGGUGACGAGCGGCGGACGGGUGAGUAAUGUCUGGGAAACUGCCUGAUGGAGGGGGAUAACUACUGGAAACGGUAGCUAAUACCGCAUAACGUCGCAAGACCAAAGUGGGGGACCUUCGGGCCUCAUGCCAUCAGAUGUGCCCAGAUGGGAUUAGCUAGUAGGUGGGGUAACGGCUCACCUAGGCGACGAUCCCUAGCUGGUCUGAGAGGGUGACCAGCCACACUGGAACUGAGACACGGUCCAGACUCCUACGGGAGGCAGCAGUGGGGAAUAUUGCACAAUGGGCGCAAGCCUGAUGCAGCCAUGCCGCGUGUGUGAAGAAGGCCUUCGGGUUGUAAAGCACUUUCAGCGGGGAGGAAGGCGGUGAGGUUAAUAACCUCAUCGAUUGACGUUACCCGCAGAAGAAGCACCGGCUAACUCCGUGCCAGCAGCCGCCGUAACAC
rnacentral:rRNA from 1 species